rnacentral:rRNA from 1 species
UACAGAGGGUGCGAGCGUUAAUCGGAAUUACUGGGCGUAAAGGGCGCGUAGGUGGUUUCUCAAGUUGACUGUGAAAGACAGGGGCUUAACCUCUGGCUGUCAGUCAAAACUGAGAGACUCGAGUAGGGUAGAGGUGAGUGGAAUUUCCGGUGUAGCGGUGAAAUGCGUAGAUAUCGGAAAGAACAUCAGUGGCGAAGGCGGUUCUCUGGGACGGUACUGACGCUGAGACGCGAAAGCGUGGGGAGCGAACAGG